ensembl:lncRNA CERS3-AS1 CERS3 antisense RNA 1
AGUGAAGAAGGGAAUGAGGGACGGAAAGAGAGAGACAGCGAAGAGAGGAGAAAGCUCUUAGCAUAUGAAACUGCAGCUAGGACUAAAACCAGAGGAAGGCACACAGAAUCUUGACUGCUCUUCAGAAAUACAUGGCACUCCGUUAAAAUGAAGAUUUUUGCUGCUCACUCCAGAAAUAUUGAAUCAAAACGUGGAGCAGGAGACAGGCAAGGCCAGUGAAGGAGUGUGGCUCCGAUAGGAUUGACAACUACUACCUUAGAUGAUGAAUCAAGCUCAGAAGGGAUCCCUCUGGAUUUCCCUGCGGUAAGAGUUUAUUAGAUGGAUGAAUAGGAUGGGUGCGUGUCAUGCAAGCUUGAAUGAUAUAAAUUGGAAAUCAAUAAAUCUCUCUUUAUAUUCAAUUUUACCUUGUACAGUCCAUCUUUCAUAUAACAG